rnacentral:lncRNA from 1 species
GGCUUCAUCUGUAAUCUCGCUUUGAUUGUCGGCACUCUGAUUUUCAGGCCACCUUUUUACAUAUUCAUGUAAAAGUGUUGCUGCUAUAUGUAUUUAAUAUAGAAUAAUGCUAUAGACACAAACUAUUCUACAAACAUUUUAUAAACUGUUGAUGUGGCAUACUCUACUUCAGUAUAUUGUGCGGGGCCGAAGACUACAUUAAAAUAAUUUGUUGAUCAGUAU